GGGGUCGUGGCGUAACGGCAGCGCUUCCGCCUUUUAAGCGGAAUGGUAAGGGUUCGACUCCCUUCGGCCCCA
rnacentral:tRNA from 1 species